AGUUUUGAACAAUUAUGCAUCAAUUACACAAACGUAAGCUACCAUAACUUUUCAACCAGAGCAAGAAGAAACGGAUCGAAGCUGGUAUACUAAUUUUGAUAAUCAAGCUCUCCUGUAGCUCAUUCAGAAGGUUCAUCUCUCAUCCUUAGAAUUUUGAUCUUCGGGUUUUAUUAGCUCUUCUACUCAGUCUUUUGCAGUUGAUUUCUCUUCAUUUUAAAAGCUUAUGGAAAAGUUUUUCACUUGAUUUCCACAUAAAUAUUCUACACACAGAAGGUUCACUAUGAGGUUCAGCCUAACCUAUUUGUAGGGGAUUCAAUCAAUACUAACUUUAUCUUCUUUUUUAUCCUCCAGAGAGGUGAAGUGAUAAUACCAAAGUAAUUGGCUGGAUAAAAUUUAUCUUACAUGCUUUUUCUGAGAGAAUAAUAUAAUAUAUUAACAAGGGAAACAAUACUAGAAAAUUGAGAUCUCCUAUUGAAAGGAAAAUUAUGGUAGGUCCUUGACAUUGCAAUCGAAAUUGACAGAAAAUAGCUCGGAAUUAAUUUGUACUACAAUUUAAACAGUGAAAUUCAUUUACUGGCUACAAUGGGAAUUACAGUGCUGAACCCCAAGCACUUUGAGAGGCUCCCAAAAUUACUCUUCCAAAUUCUACCUAUUCCUCAUCUCCAUAAUACUUCCCUUGUGUGUAUGUGUGUGUGUUUUUCACACCCCCCCCCCCCCCCCCCCCCCCCCCCCCCCCCCGUCCAAAUAAAAGAUACAAAAAAGGUGGUCAACUACUCGAAAGGCCUCCAAUCGAACAAAUUUAGACUAAUGGAUAAUUACAAAGAAAGCUGUUAGGCCUCCGAUCAUCUUACAAUAUCAAAGGAGGGGUAAAAAGGGAAUGGCUUGUUCGUGAGAGCAUAGCAUCUACAUCCAAUAAUAAUAGAGUGGGGCACCACAGUUAAGUUAGGGGGAAGAAGUGAGAGUAUAUGCGGGGAGGGAAGUAGGGAAGUAUAGUUUUCACUUUGGUAGUUUCUUCUAGAGAGUGAGGGAGGGGAUCCCAAGCUUCUGUAUGGGUUGGAGUGUAAUUGCCCUUGGGGCAAGUUCUUUUGAUUGAAUAAGACUUCCAUAGAUCGAUUCCUAUCAAAAGCUUUGUUGCUGAACCCUGCAUAGAAAAAUUAAAUCUAAUAAGGGACCAAAUAUCACUUGGAGAACACUCAAGCCAUUUAGAAGAAAUUCUAUUGUUCCUCUCACCCAUUAGCCCCAGAAAACAGCACAUACUAUUUUAAACAGAGAAUAUUACUCAAGAUGAACAAAAAAACAGCCUAAGGGCAGGGGUUGAGGUAAACUUCUGAGUUCUUUGAUCAGUUAUGAGACAAAUAUCAUGUUAAACUUGGUAUUUUUGUGAUCACCGAACUUAUUGGACGGUUGGCUCUCGCCUCUCACAUAUUAAAUACAGUCUGUCCAAUGUGGUUACCACAUGGCCAUCAGAUAUAUGCUGUCUUCUGAAUUUUCAUAUUAGGUGAGUUCUUAUACCUGCUGCCACAAUGAACACCGAACAAGUAUUCGACUCAUCUUGGUUGCAGUCAGGAGCAAUAUAAGAGGAACACUGGGAACAGCUGUGGUUGAAGUAAGAAGUGAGCAAAGUUGUAGCAGUAAAUGAAGGCACUGAUGAAAGGAGAGGUUUUAACAUUCAAGCGCUUGAUAUUAAAUAUGCUGAUAGCUAGACUAAGAGCUAAUGAGGGAGAAAGGGUAUGCUGAAAUGGAGAGAUUAAGGAUAGGAAAGUCAGAAGGAACUGAAAAAUGCAACUUCAGGACUCUUAAAACAGGAUGAGGCUGCAAGAAGCUUUGAAAACCGAGUGAAUUCUUCCGGAGAAUUUUCUUCUGAGACCAAGAGAUUCUAGAAGUUGGACGCUUGGUUUACAAGGUAAUGUAAGCUGACUGGAUACUGUUCUGAAAGAGGAGAUAAUAUAUGACAUAUUUGAGUUAGAAAACAUCAUGAGGUAAAAUUUUGUAUUUGGAUCAAUGGAGUUCAAAAAGAGUAAGGAAUUCCUCAAUAUUCUCGUCUCCAAAGUACUUUUCAAAGGAAAUGUUGGAGGAGAUGGAUAUCUUCUCAUCCACUGCACUUAUAUCUACAGACGCUGAUGUGAGCUUCUGAACUUUAGAUUUGUAUGUUGCUUAGGAGUUCUAGGAACAACCUUUACCAACUGUUGUGGUGUACCCUCUUUGAGAGGGGAACUCUGAUUCUCUGGUUUUUAAUGUAUACUUUAGAAAAUUUAAGAGUAUCACUUUUGAACACGCGGAAACUUCAGAUAAA